rnacentral:rRNA from 1 species
AUUCCAGCUCCAAUGGCGUAUAUUAAAGUUGUUGCAGUUAAAAAGCUCGUAGUUGGAUUUCUGGCGGGAGCGACCGGUCGGCCCUUGUGGUGUGUACUAGCGUUGCGUCCGGCCAUAUUUGCGGAGAGCGUGUGUGGCAUUAAUUUGUCGUGCACGGGACCCGCAUCGUUUACUGUGAGAAAAUUAGAGUGUUCAAAGCAGGCUUAUGCCUUGGAUAUGUUAGCAUGGAAUAAUAAGAUAAGACUUUGGCGGUCUAUUUUGUUGGUUUGCGCGCCAUUGUAAUGAUUGAUAGGGACAGUUGGGGGUAUUCAUAUUUAAUUGUCAGAGGUGAAAUUCUUGGAUUUAUGAAAGAUGAACUACUGCGAAAGCAUUUACCAAGGAUGUUUUCAUCG